GACGAACGCUGGCGGCGUGCUUAACACAUGCAAGUCGAACGGAAAGGCCUGCUUUCCCUUGUGGAUUGCGGGUACUCGAGUGGCGAACGGGUGAGUAACACGUGAGUGAUCUGCCCCCAACUUGGGUAUAAGCCUGGGAAACUGGGUCUAAUUCCCGAUAGGACUGCAGGGUGGUGCCUGUGGUGGAAAACGAUUUUCUAGUGGUUGGGGAUGAGCUCGCGGCCUAUCAGCUUGUUGGUGGGGUAAUGGCCUCCCAAGGCGGCGACGGGUAGCCGGCCUGAGAGGGUGGACGGCCACAUUGGGACUGAGAUACGGCCCAGACUCCUACGGGAGGCAGCAGUGGGGAAUAUUACACAAUGGGCGGAAGCCUGAUGCAGCGACGCCGCGUGGGGGAUGACGGCCUUCGGGUUGUAAACUCCUUUCGACCGCGAGGAAGCCACCUGGUUGGAAGGGUGGUGACGGUAGUGGUAGAAGAAGCACCGGCUAACUACGUG
rnacentral:rRNA from 1 species